CGCCAAAGAGCUAGCCCCCUAAAAAAAUCAAGCUGCCAAUAUUAAUACCCCAAAAUACACUAACCCUAAUAAAAUAAAUCAUUUUUCCCCCCUAGUACGGGAGACAGAAAAGGAACCCACGGAGCAAUAGAGAAAGUACCGCAAGGGAAAGCUGAAAGAGCAAUGAAAAACUCAAAUCUAAGCCUUAAAAAGCAGAGACUUCCCCUCGUACCUUUUGCAUCAUGAUUUAGCCAGUACCGCUCAGGCAAAGAGAACUUUAGUCUGACCCCCCGAAACUAAGUGAGCUACUCCGAGACAGCCUGUUAAUAGGGCCAACCCGUCUCUGUGGCAAAAGAGUGGGACGAGCUCUGAGUAGAGGUGACAGACCUACCGAACUUAGUUAUAGCUGGUUGCCCAAGAAAUGGACAGGAGUUCAGCCUCUUGGCUUCUUCCUUGAUUAAACUACAUUCAAACAUAAAAAGAAGCCCUGAGAGUUAAUUAAAGGGGGUACAGCCCCUUUAAAACAAGAUACAACUUUCUCCAGGUGGUUAAAGAUCCUACUACAACAAGGUAAAUGUCCUAGUGGGCCCGAAAGCAGCCACCUAUAAAGAAAGCGUCAUAGCUCAAAUACAUUUAACCCCACAUAUUCCGAUAUAUACAUCUAACACCCCUAACUUUACUGGGCCGCUCCAUGCAAACAUGGAAGUGACAAUGCUAAAAUGAGUAAUGAGGGGCCCGGCCCCCCUCCUUGCACACGUGUAAAUCGGAAUGGACCCUCCACCGAACCUUAACGGGCCCAAACAAAGAGGGCACUGAAUUAAAAACCAAACAACCAGAAAACUAUUCAAAAAACAACCGUUGACCCUACACUGGCGUGCACUUAAGGAAAGACUAAAAGAAAAAGAAGGAACUCGGCAAACACAAGCCUCGCCUGUUUACCAAAAACACCGCCUCUUGCAAACCAUGUAUAAGAGGUCCCGCCUGCCCUGUGACUAUAUGUUCAACGGCCGCGGUAUUUUGACCGUGCGAAGGUAGCGCAAUCACUUGUCUUUUAAAUGAAGACCUGUAUGAAUGGCAUGACGAGGGCUUAGCUGUCUCCUUUUUCCAGUCGAUGAAAUUGAUCUUCCCGUGCAGAAGCGGGAAUGGAACCAUAAGACGAGAAGACCCUGUGGAGCUUAAGACACUAAGCGCAGCUCAUGUUAAAACCCCCGCAAAAAGGACUAAACUAAAUGAACCCUGCCCUGAUGUCUUUGGUUGGGGCGACCGCGGGGGAGCAAAAAGCCCCCAUGUGGACCGGGGAGACACCCUCCCUACAACUAAGAGCACCCACUCUAACUUAACAGAACUUCUGACCAAACAGAUCCGGCAACGCCGAUCAACGGACCGAGUUACCCCAGGGAUAACAGCGCAAUCCCCUUCUAGAGCCCGUAUCGACAAGGGGGCUUACGACCUCGAUGUUGGAUCAGGGCAUCCUAAUGGUGCAGCCGCUAUUAAGGGUUCGUUUGUUCAACGAUUAAAGUCCUACGUGAUCUGAGUUCAGACCGGAGUAAUCCAGGUCAGUUUCUAUCUAUGCAAUGGUUUUUCCUAGUACGAAAGGACCGCAAAGACGAGGCCCAUACUCAAAGCACGCCUCCCCCUCCCUAAUGAAGUCAACUAAAAUAGAUCAGAGAGCAUCUCCUCCCCUCCGCCUGCGACAAAGGCAC
rnacentral:rRNA from 1 species